ACCUAAUUUUACUUAGUGUUAUUUAUUUAUUUAUUGACCUUUCAGCAUUAUUACAGGUUCAUAAAGACAGUUGUCAUUAAAAACACUGAAUUAUUUUGCUGUUACAAUAAAUAUUGCAAUUAUCUAAGCUGAGAUCUAAUCUUGUAUCCCAAAUUAAAAUUUAAAAUCCGCUGUCAUUUAGGAGUCUGCACAUAUAGGGGAUUGGUGAUCUCCUGUAUCUCUCAGUUCGACAUCUUGGGAUGGCCAGUUGGUUAGAAUUCCUUGUCUGACGACCUGCGAGCUCCUCCCUGAGGGGGAGUAGCCAGUCACUGUUGGACUUUAGCAGCUUUCUGGCAAAGCCAAGACACAGUUGAGUGCGUCUCUCUAGAGUGCACAACCCGAGAGUGCAGAGAGCCUCUGGAUACCCUGAGUACCUCUGGCCAAGUAUGAUUUUACAAGCCCGUUUCUGCGUGCUUUCCAGCCUUUUAGCCUGGUCUGUAGUCAGGGAACUGUGCCAGACGGGGACUGCAUACUCCAGCACCGGGCGUACGUAGCCUGUGUAGAUGGAAACCAGUUCUGGGUCUCGGACACCAAAUUUCUUCAGGCGACGCAGAGCAAAAAGCUUCCUGUUCGCUGAGGUCAGCAUGUGGUCCACCUGACUGUCCCAAUGAAAAUUACUCUGGAUGGUGACCCCCAGGACCUUGACAGUGUCACAGACUUCCAGGAUGUUCUGGUCAGUGGAGAGAGUCGGCAGGGCGGGUGGAUGCCUCAUGGUCUGCUACACAGGAGCUAUCCAGUGCUGAUCCAUAAUGAAGAAGAUGAAGAAGACCUUUACAUUUCAAUACUUAAAAACGCAAGAGAGCUGCUAGUAUCAGUUCAGAUAAACCAACCUCAUGAAGGCUAAUAAACAUGGUGGUGCAAUAA